UUUGCUUUUACUAAAUCUUGAAAAACUUGACAGGAUCUUCUAAUGUUGUAUUUAGAAAAAAUAAACGAAGAAGAGGUUGACACAUCCAACCUUGUUGUCUUACCUAAUGCAUUGACUCUUACAUCCAACCAUAGCAUAUAAAAGAAAUUAUAUAUGUUGUCACUAAUCGUUUCUUUUAAUUAAUUAGCAAAGAGAAAUGCAACUGCAAGCUACUGCUGUUUCACAUGUUAUUUAGAGAAAGUAGGUCCUUGUUCCUGUUUACAAGAUGUUACACAAGCUCACAAAAAAACUUUUCAUGAGACCUACUAAGGCUAAAGCACUUACUAGCACCUCUUGGGGCGUCCCUCCCUGCCCUCUUUGUAUGCUCCCAACCAGAAACCAGAAAGCUGGUUCUAUUAAUUGGUUGGCUAGUAGAAUUUCAGUUUUG
rnacentral:misc_RNA from 1 species